AAGCCCUGGGCUCAACCUGGGAAUUGCAGUGGAUACUGGGCAACUAGAGUGUGGUAGAGGAUGGCGGAAUUCCCGGUGUAGCAGUGAAAUGCGUAGAGAUCGGGAGGAACAUCUGUGGCGAAGGCGGCCAUCUGGACCAACACUGACACUGAGGCACGAAAGCGUGGGGAGCAAACAGGAUUAGAUACCCUGGUAGUCCACGCCCUAAACGAUGCGAACUGGAUG
rnacentral:rRNA from 1 species